rnacentral:rRNA from 1 species
UACGAAGGGUGCAAACGUUGUCCGGAUUUACUGGGCGUAAAGGGCGUGCAGGCGGUCUGUUAAGUGCAGGGUGAAAGCUCCCGGCUCAACUGGGAGAGGUCCUUGCAUACUGGCGGACUUGAGGGGGGUAGAGGAAAGUGGAAUUCCCGGUGUAGUGGUGAUAUGCGUAGAUAUCGGGAGGAACACCUGUGGCGAAGGCGGCUUUCUGGGCCCUACCUGACGCUGAGACGCGAAAGCGUGGGGAGCGAACCGG